AGCUCCAAUAGCGUAUAUUAAAGUUGUUGCGGUUAAAAGCUCGUAGUUGGAUUUCUGAUAGGGGAGUUCGGUCCGCCCUCUGGGUGAGUAUCUGAAUUGCCUUGUCAUCUUCUUGGUGAACGUGUCUGCACUUGACUGUGUGGCGCGCUAUCCAGGACUUUUACUUUGAGGAAAUUAGAGUGUUUCAAGCAGGCUUUCGCCUUGAAUACAUUAGCAUGGAAUAAUAAGAUAGGACCUUGGUUCUAUUUUGUUGGUUUCUAGAGCUGAGGUAAUGAUUAAUAGGGAUAGUUGGGGGGCAUUCGU
rnacentral:rRNA from 1 species